AUGAACGCUGGCGGCGUGCUUAACACAUGCAAGUCGAACGGUGAAGGCGGAGCUUGCUCUGCUGGAUCAGUGGCGAACGGGUGAGUAACACGUGAGCAAUCUGCCCCUGACUCUGGGAUAAGCGCUGGAAACGGCGUCUAAUACUGGAUACGAGCUGCGAAGGCAUCUUCAGCAGCUGGAAAGAACUUCGGUCAGGGAUGAGCUCGCGGCCUAUCAGCUUGUUGGUGAGGUAACGGCUCACCAAGGCGUCGACGGGUAGCCGGCCUGAGAGGGUGACCGGCCACACUGGGACUGAGACACGGCCCAGACUCCUACGGGAGGCAGCAGUGGGGAAUAUUGCACAAUGGGCGAAAGCCUGAUGCAGCAACGCCGCGUGAGGGACGACGGCCUUCGGGUGGUAAACCUCUUUUAGCAGGGAAGAAGCGAAAGUGACGGUACCUGCAGAAAAAGCGCCGGCUAACUACGU
rnacentral:rRNA from 1 species